rnacentral:tRNA from 1 species
GGGAGUGUAGUUCAGUAGUAGAGUGCUUGCCUAGCAUGCAUGAGGCCCUAGGUUCCAUCCCCAACACACACA